rfam:Brassica napus, WGS project CCCW01000000 data, contig: 19228
AUUUCUAAAUCCAAUACCCCCACCUAAGUGUAGUAUCUGUUCUUAUCAGUUUAAUAUUUGAUAUAUGGGUCAUCGGCCCACUCGAUAUUAACUCAAUUUUUAAGGGAAAAGACCUAUUAAGAUAGCUUGCUAUCUGGGUUUUCAAAAGUCGCCCAUAUGUUUCACUACUGCACGGGUUGGCUCAACCCGC